CCAGUGGACAAAAGUAUGUUUCCUGCGUUAUGCUUGCAUAAAAGCAGGAAACAUACUUUGGAACACGCCCAACCAUGAGGAUAAAAGCAGGAUGAAAUCCUGCGAUAUCCGAAUGGUGGGAAGAAUUGCGGGAAUGCGAAGCAUGGAGUAAUUCGU
rnacentral:sRNA from 1 species